GCCGGUCCUCGGUAGUGGCCCCCGGGGGAUUGCGAACCCCGUGGGCUUCGAUCGAAGACCGGC
rnacentral:ncRNA from 1 species